GUUCCCUUUCAACUGUCUUAGACAUGUUCUUCUCAGAGAUGAUAUAAACAUUGUGACAUGGAAAGAAAGGGCAGGAGCACAGGUGCAGCCCCAAGUCAUCAGUCCUCUGAAGCUGUUCUGUCUGAGGGGGGUCCCAGGCACUGAAGCUGCUCUUGCUGUUGGGUCACAAAGUUAAGGAGCAGCAUGCAGAGAGAGCUGGACUGAGCCCUGGAGGAGGAUACAAAGCAGUUCACCAUCUCAUUCAUCCAUCCCAUGUUUUACUUUCACUCUAUGAUUUCAUCUUAGUUUAGCUCAUGCUGUUCUGGAGGCUUACAUGGUUUCUGGAGUUCUCCAUCCCUACUGUUUUCUUCAAGACAGAAAUAAUGUAACAUCUGCACUAGUGUAGGAACACUGCAAGGGCAAGGACUAUGCCUGGAUCUACAUGACUGCCCAGAUUUACUGUUUGUUUCUGCCAUUUAAAUGUUCCCAACAACUGGGUUGCAUCUGUCAUUGAGCAUUCAAUUAUUGCUCUCCUAAAGCCUAUCCUCAGCAUCAAUGGUCAAAUUUAAGGUUAUGAUAUGAAAAUAAAAAAAAUCAUUAUGACCUUGUGUGGCUGGUAUCUCUAAAGUCCUCUGUCAAAUUAAGCCUUGCCUAGCACUACCCAUUCAGCAAUAUAUAUUUUUUUUAAUUUUUUUUUUUUUGCUGAUGACAGUAAAGAAAAGAACAGGAGAACUGGAUUAAAUAUCAGGUUCUGCCACUGUUUUACAUUUAACAUAUCAUGUAACUUCUUUAUUUUGUAUCUGUGGAAAAUGUCAAUAAUGUCUGUCCAUUGUCUACCUUAAAGAAAAAUUACAAGAAUAAACACAAAUAUAAAAGAGGAAUUCUUGAGUGGGAGGCAGCAUUAUUAUUAAAGGACAAUUUUUGGUGCAGAAUUUUUAUUCUUUUUUAAGUGCAUGGGUGGUCCAGAGCAUGAUAUAGUUAUUCCUUUCACAUCUUGGGAGUAGAAGACCCCUGUGCUUUGAAAUAUCUGCAUGAAAUUUUCUCCCUUUAUACCAGAGAUAUCUGAAUUUCUUCUUUUUCUUUUAUGAGAUGGUACCUUACUGUAAAUUUUGGGUCCAGUAUACAUUUCUGAGUUUCUAGACUUUGUCAUUUGAGGCUUCUUCAAAACUUUCCAAAAAUUUCCAUCUAACCUCUUAUGUUGACCUAUGAUAUAUCAAACCUGUAAUGGGGAAAGUUGCAAUAUAGAAAGGAUAACCCAACAUACUGUGAAGAGUGGAUCAAACUCUCUUUGCCUAUCAAGCAGCAACUUUUAAGUUAAUCAAUCAAAAAUAUAAGGACCACUACUUAGUACCUUACUAAUCACUAAGUAUGAGAGAUCACAAGUCACUUGCUAGAGUGGGUGAUAACUCCAGAGUCUCCUGCCCCCCACCCCAGCAGUGCUAGGAAAAUUGAAAGACUGACUGGUUCCCAUAAAAUGGGAGAAUGACAGGAAGUGACAUAAAGAAAACUGCAAAGCUAGUCUCUGAUUCUCUGUCAGAUGAGCUGGACUGGAGGAGGAGACUCUUUCCUUGGAUCCUGUGGUGGUGAGUGGAGUGACUCCUUUCUUGGUUCUUCCGUGAGGGGACUCUCUCUGCUCGUUGGUGCUUUGGUGGGACACUCCCUUAAGUGUGAGUUCUGGUGAGAUUCUUGGUGGUCUUCGUCUCCUAUGCACUGAAGGUUCUUGGCAGAUUCUUCAGCAUCUCCUGGUUCUUCAGUUUCAGCUUCCUAAUUAGACUUUGGAUUCUGGUGAGAUUCACUUUCAGAUUCACAUUUGAGGUCUGGAGACAUGAGGAUUAAACUCAGGGUAUUUGUAGUCUACAUUUUUCCAUUCUCACUCUUUCCACUUCUUUGUAAAUAAAGAUGCUAAAAGUAAUUUUGACUUAAGCUGUAAUAUUUUUUAAAUCUGCAACCACAAUAUUACUUUAGAAUUCUCAGAUUUAGCAUAAAACCUAAAUUUAAAUUCUUAUAAUACCAAUUUUUUCACUAUUAUAUUUUUAAAUCUUUUUAUUUUAUUUUAUUUUUUUUGGUUACAAUACUCACUUUAUUUCCCUCCCUCCCCUCCACCCAUCCUUCCCACAGCCGAUGCGCAAUUUCAUUGGGUAUUACUUGUGUCCUUGAUCAGAACCUAUUUCCAUGUUGUUGUUUGAUAUACCAGUUUUUUGAAUGACCUUAUUUUCUAUCUUUUUUUUCACUCUUUAUCAUGCUCAAGUUUCUGGAAGACUCAACACAAGUGUAGCUCCAUCCAAUUGGACAUUUUUUCUGAUAGAAUAGACCAUAGGGAGGCAAUGUGAUAUGUUAGAAAGAGAGCUCAAUUUGCAGUCAAAAGUCCUCAGGUUGACGUAUAGGCAGACUGUACUUGUGUGACUCGGGGCAAGUCACUUGAAGUCUCUGGGUCUUAGGUUUGUCAGUAAAGUGACACAGAUGGACUACAUAAUGUCCAAGGUCUCUUCUAGCUCUAAAUUUAUGAUCCUAUGAUCUGUUCUGAGUCCUUAUCUCCAUUAUGACUGGUGAAAAGGGUAGGAUAGCUUUGCCAUAAGUGUGAAGGUUUUCUCUACUUGUCUCCCCUGAACUUCCUCUCUUCUGAACAUCAGCUUAAGCUUUUUCUAAGUUACCUAUAGUUAGAACUUGAGCAAAAGACAACAGGAAAAAAAGGGUUGCUCUCACCAAGAAUUUCCAAAGAAUCUGGGCUUUGUAAGAUCUACAAAGAAAUACCAAGAUACUGAGAGAAGAGGAUUCAACUAAACAGUUUGAAGAAACUGGAACCAGACAUAGUCUGUAUCAGAAUUAUUUGACAACUUUUAGGGUGGGUCACUGGUGAAUCAAGUUGUUCAGUGAAAAAUCCAUGUGUUAAUCCAAAGAACAAAUCAAUGAACACUUUAGUUCACAAGGGAAAGAAAAUAACUAUAUCAGAGAAACAGAUGAUCACAAUGACACAUUUAUUACAAGGGUAGCAGACAUUAGUGGAAAUUGGUCACCCUUAAUAUAGCUAAGUGAAGCCAUGUGGAGUCUGAUAUGGACAUCAGCUAUGUAUUUCAUCCUGGACUCUACUUACUUGAUUCUUAGAGAUAUGGCAGCACCAUCAGGAUGCCGACAAACAUUUCCUUAUGUGCCAAGCACUAUAAUACACAAUGAAGAUAUAAAGAGAGAUAGAAGCAGCCCAUGUCCUCAAGGAGUUCACAUUUAAAUGGGAGAGACAACACUGAAACAACUAUGUAUCUCUGUAUUGAGUACACUUUGGCACUUUUGGGUCCAUGCUGCUUUAUUUUCCCAUGUGAGGGGAUAACCCUAAAGGCCUGGGAUAUCUUUCUUCUCUAUCACCAUUAGUUCAAGUCUUAUUUGAUUGUUUUCAAUGUAUCAGUCUGUCUCCCCCUAUAUUCAGGGUCUAGCUCUAAACUGAGGAAGAGCCUUGGUCCUGAUUUAUUAGGCAAUUGUCAUGUAUUGCUUGGUAAACUGAUAUAUCCAAAUUUGAACCUUUUUUUUCUCUCAGGCAUUUCAUCUUUCACCCACUACCAGAAGUUCUACCACUGGAUCAAGGCAAUGGUGUCUGCUAAUGUACCAGACUUUUAUUAAAUGUACAAAAUGCAUAGUGUAAGUGGAAGAUAAUCUUAGAGCAAAGGCAUUGGCAGGGUUUAGGACUGAAAAAAGCCUCCUACAGAUGGGGAGAUUUGAGCUGAGGCUGGAAAGAAGCCAACAUAUGGAAGGAAAAAGUAAGAACAUUCCAGGAAUGAGGGGAUAGUCAGGGAAAAGGCAAGAAAUUUGGAGAUGGAAUUUAUAGAAGAGAAAGUAGCCAUUGUCACUAGGUUGAGAAAGGAGUACAUUUUGAGAAUUCUAGAAAAAUAGUAAAGGACCUGGGUGUAAAGGGCUUGAAAUGCUAAGCAGAGGGGUUUAUAUUGGAUCCUGGAGAUAAUAAGGAAUCACUUGAGUUUAUUGAGUAGGGCAGUGAUGUGGUCAGAUACAUGCUUUAGGAAAAAUCACUUUGGCAGCUGAGUGGAAGAUGGAUGGGAAUGAGACUUAAGGCAAGGGAAACAAUUAUGAAGCUAUUUUAAUAGGGGUAAGGGAGGGAAUAAGCAUUUAUUAAGUACCUAGUAUAUGCCAGGCACUGCAUUAUGAGCUUUACAAAUAUGUCAUUUGAUCCUCACAAAUCUGGGAGUUUAUUAUUAUCCUAUUUGUAAAAUUGAAGAAACUGAGGCAGACUUGAGCAAGAUCACACAGCUAGCAAGUGUCUGACAUUUAAAGUCAUAUCUUCCUGACCCCAGGCCCAAGGUUCAAUGCACAAUACCAACCAGCUGUGAGAGUCAGGAAGGGAAACUAUAUGGGACAUUCUUUAAAGAGAGAAAUGACAAGACUUAAUAAUAGAUUUGAGCUCCCAGAAAUGUGAAUGAAUAAUUGGGUACCACCUCUUUGCUGAAUGAACUCACUCUUUCUAGGGCACCAGAGGUUUUAUAUCUCUCGGAAGAUAGUUGGAAAAAUACUGUCGAAAUUUUUAUUUUUUCACUGUAUUACAUUAAGGUAUUCAAAAAAUGGACUUACAGGGUAUUUUGUGGAAGGGCAGAACUUAGAGAGGCUGAUUUUUAAGAAAGACAAAUCUUAAAAUAUGACUAGAAAAUAUGGGGAGAUGAGCUGCAAAGCCCAAGAAAAGCUACUUCCUAGGACACAUAAACCAAAGUAGAUAAGUGAAUUCAAGACAUGAGAAUGUUAUUAUCCUAUAUCAAGGGUGUUAGCCCGGGAUUUAGGCUUUUCAAGCCAUUUUACAGACCACCGAUAUAAUUGCUAUUCUUCUAAGUUUAUGCUUUGGUAGUUCUAACUCAUUUAGUUAAGCCACUUCGAGAGGUAACAACGCCUUCCCAUCCAAAGUUCUCUGGUGCCUACUUUAUAUAUGUCUUAUAUAUGUACAUUCAGGAUAUCCCAAAUCUUUUUUAAAAAUUUCAUUUAUUUAUUUAUUUUCAAUAUUUUUCCAUGUUUAUAUGGUUCAUUUUCUUUUCCUCCCCU